AACCGGGUCUAAUACUGGAUACGACCUUCUGGCGCAUGCCAUGUUGGUGGAAAGCUUUUGUGGUUUUGGAUGGACUCGCGGCCUAUCAGCUUGUUGGUGGGGUAAUGGCCUACCAAGGCGACGACGGGUAGCCGGCCUGAGAGGGUGACCGGCCACACUGGGACUGAGACACGGCCCAGACUCCUACGGGAGGCAGCAGUGGGGAAUAUUGCACAAUGGGCGCAAGCCUGAUGCAGCGACGCCGCGUGAGGGAUGAAGGCCUUCGGGUUGUAAACCUCUUUCAGUAGGGAAGAAGCCGGCCUUUCGGGGUUGGUGACGGUACCUGCAGAAGAAGCGCCGGCUAACUACGUGCCAGCAGCCGCGGUAAUACGUAGGGCGCAAGCGUUAUCCGGAAUUAUUGGGCGUAAAGAGCUCGUAGGCGGUUUGUCGCGUCUGCCGUGAAAGUCCGGGGCUUAACUCCGGAUCUGCGGUGGGUACGGGCAGACUAGAGUGCAGUAGGGGAGACUGGAAUUCCUGGUGUAGCGGUGAAAUGCGCAGAUAUCAGGAGGAACACCGAUGGCGAAGGCAGGUCUCUGGGCUGUAACUGACGCUGAGGAGCGAAAGCAUGGGGAGCGAACAGGAUUAGAUACCCUGGUAGUCCAUGCCGGUAAACGUUGGGGCACUAGGUGUGGGGGGACAUUCCACGUUUUUCCGCGCCGGUAGCUA
rnacentral:rRNA from 1 species